UAUUUUUCUUCCUGUUCCUUGAUCAUUGGCAUUUUAUGUUGAACUUACUCUGUUUUGUAGCUUCAGCAUUGGAAUCUGGGAUGGUUUGUACUUCCUUUGAUGAAGCGUUGAUUUUAAAGAAGAAGGCACAAGAGGUUGGCCCACACUUAGAUGGACGCUGUUUUUAUCUUGUUGGAAUGAUGGGCUCCGGUAAAACAACAGUUGGGAAGAUUUUAUCAGAAGUAUUGGGUUAUUCUUUCUUUGAUAGCGACAAACGGGUGAA